UACAGAGGGGGCAAGCGUUGUUCGGAAUUACUGGGCGUAAAGGGCGCGUAGGCGGCCUGUUAAGUCGAACGUGAAAUCCCCGGGCUCAACCCGGGAACUGCGUCCGAAACUGGCAGGCUCGAAUUCGGGAGAGGGAUGCGGAGUUCCAGGUGUAGCGGUGAAAUGCGUAGAUAUCUGGAGGAACAUCGGUGGCGAAGGCGGCAUCCUGGACCGAUAUUGACGCUGAGGCGCGAAAGCCAGGGGAGCAAACGGG
rnacentral:rRNA from 1 species